GAUGAACGCUAGCUACAGGCUUAACACAUGCAAGUCGAGGGGCAGCAUUUUAGUUUGCUUGCAAACUGAAGAUGGCGACCGGCGCACGGGUGAGUAACACGUAUCCAACCUGCCGAUAACUCCGGGAUAGCCUUUCGAAAGAAAGAUUAAUACCGGAUAGCAUACGUAUAUCGCAUGAUAUUUUUAUUAAAGAAUUUCGGUUAUCGAUGGGGAUGCGUUCCAUUAGUUUGUUGGCGGGGUAACGGCCCACCAAGACUACGAUGGAUAGGGGUUCUGAGAGGAAGGUCCCCCACAUUGGAACUGAGACACGGUCCAAACUCCUACGGGAGGCAGCAGUGAGGAAUAUUGGUCAAUGGGCGCGAGCCUGAACCAGCCAAGUAGCGUGAAGGAUGAAGGCUCUAUGGGUCGUAAACUUCUUUUAUAUGGGAAUAAAGUUUUCCACGUGUGGAAUUUUGUAUGUACCAUAUGAAUAAGGAUCGGCUAACUCCGUGCCAGCAGCCGCGGUAAUACGGAGGAUCCGAGCGUUAUCCGGAUUUAUUGGGUUUAAAGGGAGCGUAGGUGGAUUGUUAAGUCAGUUGUGAAAGUUUGCGGCUCAACCGUAAAAUUGCAGUUGAAACUGGCAGUCUUGAGUACAGUAGAGGUGGGCGGAAUUCGUGGUGUAGCGGUGAAAUGCUUAGAUAUCACGAAGAACUCCGAUUGCGAAGGCAGCUCACUAGACUGUCACUGACACUGAUGCUCGAAAGUGUGGGUAUCAAACAGGAUUAGAUACCCUGGUAGUCCACACAGUAAACGAUGAAUACUCGCUGUUUGCGAUAUACAGUAAGCGGCCAAGCGAAAGCAUUAAGUAUUCCACCUGGGGAGUACGCCGGCAACGGUGAAACUCAAAGGAAUUGACGGGGGCCCGCACAAGCGGAGGAACAUGUGGUUUAAUUCGAUGAUACGCGAGGAACCUUACCCGGGCUUAAAUUGCAACAGAAUAUAUUGGAAACAGUAUAGCCGUAAGGCUGUUGUGAAGGUGCUGCAUGGUUGUCGUCAGCUCGUGCCGUGAGGUGUCGGCUUAAGUGCCAUAACGAGCGCAACCCUUAUCUUUAGUUACUAACAGGUCAUGCUGAGGACUCUAGAGAGACUGCCGUCGUAAGAUGUGAGGAGGGUGGGGAUGACGUCAAAUCAGCACGGCCCUUACGUCCGGGGCUAUACACGUGUUACAAUGGGGGGUACAGAAGGCGGCUACCUGGUGACAGGAUGCUAAUCCCAAAAACCUCUCUCAGUUCGGAUCGAAGUCUGCAACCCGACUUCGUGAAGCUGGAUUCGCUAGUAAUCGCGCAUCAGCCAUGGCGCGGUGAAUACGUUCCCGGGCCUUGUACACACCGCCCGUCAAGCCAUGAAAGCCGGGGGUACCUGAAGUACGUAACCGCAAGGAGCGUCCUAGGGUA
rnacentral:rRNA from 1 species